CCUACGGGCGGCAGCAGUGAGGAAUAUUGGUCAAUGGACUGACGUCUGAACCAGCCAUGCCGCGUGCAGGAAGACGGCUCUAUGAGUUGUAAACUGCUUUUGUACAAGGGUAAACCCGAAUACGUGUAUUCAGCUGAAAGUACUGUACGAAUAAGGAUCGGCUAAAUCCGUGCCAGCAGCCGCGGUAAUAUGGAGGAUCCAAGCGUUAUCCGGAUUUAUUGGGGUUAAAGGGUGCGUAGGCGGAUUGAUAAGUUAGAGGUGAAAUGUCCGGGCUUAACUCGGGAACUGCCUCUAAUACUGUUGAUCUAGAGAGUAGAUGCGGUAGGCGGAAUGUAUGGUGUAGCGGUGAAAUGCUUAGAGAUCAUACAGAACACCGAUUGCGAAGGCAGCUUACCAAUCUAUAUCUGACGUUGAGGCACGAAAGCGUGGGUAGCAAACAGGAUUAGAUACCCGGGUAGUC
rnacentral:rRNA from 1 species